UCAGUCUACUCCCACUGAACGCAUUUUGUGGCGUCAGUGUGGUGCGUCUUUUGUGGUGGUGCAAUCUGGUGGUGCAGUAGAGAAGGAUAAAGGGAAUUUGAAAGCCAAAUUGAGUAAAUGUUGUGAAGACACCAAAUUAAAUUGGAUUAAGUGCCUACCAAUUGUCUUGUAUGUGAGGACAAUUUGUCUCCCUUUGAGAUCGUUUUUGCAGGGCCUCCAAAUGUCGGAUUGAAUCCUCCAGACUUGCCGAUGGGCACACAUCUUUGCGGAGACAACAUGAUCAGAGCUUCCGGCUGAAAAUGUGGAGACAUCAGCGCUGGCUGGGGCCUUUUCAAGUCCUCCUUGUGACCCACACUGCAGCUGAUGUUGCUGAGAGAGCUACGUGGGUUCACAUGUCAUACUGCAGGACGUUUCAAGCGCCUCCUGUGGUCCCACCUCCUCUCCUCCUUCACCUUCUGCAACGGGUGGUUGGAAAGCCCGCCUGAUAAAGCUGAAUACUGACCGCGACCGGAAAAGAGCUGCUUGCUGUGUCAUAGAGGAGCAGAAGAUAUGUUAUAAAAGCCAAGCAACAACCAAUCACCAGUUGUCUGAACUGACGCGCACACACACAACUUUCGUAACUCGGCGGAAGAACAGAAGAAGAUGACUUCUCCAGGGGGUUUCAAACUCCUCCUCUUUGGUUUAUCAUUACUUGCCAUAAUUAUUGUGUCCAAUAUGUGAAUUGAUGCUCCUACUUUGACAGUUGACACAAUUUAGUUCCUUAUGAGACGUGACAACUAUGACGAGGUUCUUUGGUUGCAUGCGAUUGCCACUACCUCUGCUAAUUUCACCUCCUACAGUAUGACUGUUUAGUUUCUUUACACCCUUCAAGUGGCACGCUCUCAAAAUCCCUCUAAUUGCUGUUUAGUUUUUUUCAUGCAGCUGCUAACCAACUUGUAGUGCCUUCCCCACAUCCAAAUCCGUCAUCACUCUUUCCUCGCACCUUAACGUCUUUUAUCUGUCCACAGUA